rnacentral:tmRNA from 1 species
GGGGGUGAUUGGCUUCGACUUCGGUAGUCGAUUCGGGAGAAGCGAGCCGUGGUCUCAGGAACCACGUUAAAGAGCCUGAACCAAUAAACAAACGCCGAGCCUCAGCUCGCACUGGCUGCCUAACUAGUAGCCCGUCCGUCCGGCCCCAGCCCUGCGGGUCGGGUACGGGCGUCAUUCAGUAGGGCUCACCCGGAGGCCUCGUCAGUGGGCCCUCGGGGAAAUCUCAGCUGACUAGGAACCCUCGCCGGUGCCGGUGGCGAGCGAGGGGUCCGAUAUCUGAUCACCGGCUGCGCUCGGAGAAGGCCUGUUGAGGCAUCGAAGGACGCGGGUUCGAUUCCCGCCACCUCCACCC